GUCCACGCCGUAAACGAUGGGUGCUAGGUGUAGGGGGUGUCGACUCCCUCUGUGCCGAAGCUAACGCAUUAAGCACCCCGCCUGGGGAGUACGGCCGCAAGGCUAAAACUCAAAGGAAUUGACGGGGGCCCGCACAAGCAGCGGAGCAUGUGGUUUAAUUCGACGCGACGCGAAGAACCUUACCUGGGCUUGACAUGCACGGGGAAUGUCGUAGAAAUACGGCAGCCCUUCGGGGCUCGUGCACAGGUGUUGCAUGGCUGUCGU
rnacentral:rRNA from 1 species